GCGUCUAUAGCUCAGUUGGUUAGAGCACCACCUUGACAUGGUGGGGGUCGGUGGUUCGAGUCCACUUAGAUGCACCA
rnacentral:tRNA from 1 species